UUCAGAUGAUGGUACAUUACCUGUUCUCGAAAUGACUGCAUUGUUUCAUUUUUAGUUCAAUUUCUUUCUACAACCCGAAACAAGAGCGAAUGAUAUCCAAUGCACCAAAAACAAUACACAGUUCACCCAUUCACUGGUAAUCACUAUUUGCAUAAGAACAAUAACUUUAACUGUCACUCAACACUUAAUUAUUCACAAUUAACACAAUGUUGCGAACAUAUUAAAAAGCACAAACUGCUCUUCCACUGCAAAUGUAAAACUAGAUGCUUCUUUACGCGUCCUUCCCAGCAGUAGCUUUGCAUGAGGAAACAAUGCAAAUGGCGUAAUGAACUAUAGACGUCAGCCGCUUGCUCCGAUUUUGACAGCUAGUUUAUCAUGGCGUCCUUUGGGGAGCAUCAUUUGCAUUUGCAGAUCUACUUCCGUGAGAUGCUUGCUUGUGUAGUGCUUUCGAGACAUGUUCCGGUAUCGUUUCUUGUGUGUUUUAAGUGAUCAAAAGUAUCGAAAUACAUAUUAGUUCCCGGACGACAGACAACGGAUGAAAGUUGUUUGUGGUUCCAUCCGGGAGAUGUGUGAAGUUGUGCAUAACCAGCUUUUUUUUUUUUGGCAAGGACGUCCAUUUUGGGUUGAGAGAGAUUUCGUAAUGCAUCUCCAUGAUGGCGAUGCAUCCUACUUCAUCCCGGUGUGGUGCGUCUCCCUUGUGUUGGCCCAUCUUUGCUCCCAGACGCGCGCAACUUAUGAAUGGGCAAACCCGUACCGACCACGCACACGGAUAUGGUGCGCCAUAUACCGAAGGAAAGCGAAUAAGGUGCCAAAAGGCAGCCCGGGAAGACAGACACCCACUCCCCACGCAGAGGAUUUUAUCUAUACCCGCAUUGGAUUGAGUGGAUUGAACGCGCGGGGAUCUUUGCGUGGCGGCAUUAGGAAUUCUGCGCGUGACACUAAACCACUCCGAAAAGCUCGUCCAAUGUCCGCAGCUUGGCGUGCAGAUUGAUGCAAAGCUGUGCAGCGGAAAUUCUUCCUGCUGAUGGUGAUGCUGGUGGCAGUAGUAGUAGUAGUUUGACAUAAUUAUAGACGUGCCCUUUUCCGAGUAAGAGCGAUACGCGAUUAGCGUAGAAAUUUGUGAUGCUGUGACUCAAAUUCUGCACGCGUUCUAGAGGAUUGAGGAUAGUAGCCGCAAGAAGGAGGAGAAG